CGGAACGUACCCAUUUGUGGGGGAUAACUAUCCGAAAGGAUAGCUAAUACCGCAUAAGUCCUGAGGGAGAAAGCAGGGGAUCGCAAGACCUUGCGCGAAUGGAGCGGCCGAUGCCGGAUUAGCUAGUUGGUAGGGUAAAGGCCUACCAAGGCGACGAUCCGUAGCGGGUCUGAGAGGAUGAUCCGCCACACUGGAACUGAGACACGGUCCAGACUCCUACGGGAGGCAGCAGUGGGGAAUUUUGGACAAUGGGCGCAAGCCUGAUCCAGCCAUUCCGCGUGAGUGAAGAAGGCCUUCGGGUUGUAAAGCUCUUUCGGCAGGAACGAAACGGUGGGGGCUAAUACCCCCUGCUAAUGACGGUACCUGAAGAAGAAGCACCGGCUAACUACGUGCCAGCAGCCGCGGUAAUACGUAGGGUGCGAGCGUUAAUCGGAAUUACUGGGCGUAAAGCGUGCGCAGGCGGUUAUGUAAGACAGAUGUGAAAUCCCCGGGCUUAACCUGGGAACUGCGUUUGUGACUGCAUAACUCGAGUGUGGCAGAGGGGGGUGGAAUUCCACGUGUAGCAGUGAAAUGCGUAGAGAUGUGGAGGAACACCGAUGGCGAAGGCAGCCCCCUGGGUCAACACUGACGCUCAUGCACGAAAGCGUGGGUAGCAAACAGGAUUAGAUACCCUGGUAGUCCACGCCCUAAACGAUGCGAACUAGGUGUUGGAGAAGGAGACUUCUUUAGUACCGCAGCUAACGCGUGAAGUUCGCCGCCUGGGGAGUACGGUCGCAAGAUUAAAACUCAAAGGAAUUGACGGGGACCCGCACAAGCGGUGGAUGAUGUGGAUUAAUUCGAUGCAACGCGAAAAACCUUACCUACCCUUGACAUGCCAGGAACUUGGUAGAGAUACCUUGGUGCCCGAAAGGGAGCCUGGACACAGGUGCUGCAUGGCUGUCGUCAGCUCGUGUCGUGAGAUGUUGGGUUAAGUCCCGCAACGAGCGCAACCCUUGUCAUUAGUUGCCAUCAUUUAGUUGGGCACUCUAAUGAGACUGCCGGUGACAAACCGGAGGAAGGUGGGGAUGACGUCAAGUCCUCAUGGCCCUUAUGGGUAGGGCUUCACACGUCAUACAAUGGUCGGUACAGAGGGUUGCCAAGCCGCGAGGUGGAGCCAAUCCCAGAAAGCCGAUCGUAGUCCGGAUCGGAGUCUGCAACUCGACUCCGUGAAGUCGGAAUCGCUAGUAAUCGUGGAUCAGCAUGUCACGGUGAAUACGUUCCCGGGUCUUGUACACACCGCCCGUCACACCAUGGGAGUGGGUUUCACCAGAAGUAGGUAGCCUAACCGCAAGGAGGGCGCUUACCACGGUGGGAUUCAUGACUGGGGUGAAGUCGGAACAAGGUA
rnacentral:rRNA from 1 species